rfam:Deltaproteobacteria bacterium RIFCSPLOWO2_01_FTLL_45_74 rifcsplowo2_01_scaffold_120, whole genome shotgun sequence.
GGAGGGGUGCGUGAGCGGUUGAAACGGAUGGUCUUGAAAACCAUUGAACCCUUACGGGUUCCGUGAGUUCGAAUCUCACCCCCUCCG